UACGGAGGGUGCGAGCGUUGUUCGGAAUCACUGGGCGUAAAGGGCGCGUAGGCGGCGCGGGUAGUCAUCGGUGAAAGUUCAGGGCUCAACUCUGAAUCGGCCGGUGAUACUCCCGUGCUCGAGCACUGUAGAGGCAGGUGGAAUUCCGGGUGUAGCGGUGGAAUGCGUAGAGAUCCGGAAGAACACCCGUGGCGAAGGCGGCUCUGGUAGGGACGGAUCGCUGAGACGCGAAAGCGUGGGGAGCGAACAGG
rnacentral:rRNA from 1 species